UGAUAGUAUCAGAAGAGGAAGGGACGGCUAACUCUGUGCCAGCAGCCGCGGUAAUACAGAGGUCCCAAGUGUUGUUCGGAUUCAUUGGGCGUAAAGGGUGCGUAGGUGGCGCCGUAAGUGGGGUGUGAAAUUUCGGAGCUUAACUCCGAAACUGCAUUCCAUACUGCGGUGCUUGAGGACUGGAGAGGAGACUGGAAUUUACGGUGUAGCAGUGAAAUGCGUAGAGAUCGUAAGGAAGACCAGUGGCGAUGGCGGGUCCCUGGACAGUUCCUGACACUGAGGCACGAAGGCCAGGGGAGCAAACGGGAUUAGAUACCCCGGUAGUCCUGGCAGUAAACGGUGCACGUUUGGUGUGGGAGGAUUCGACCCCUUCUGCGCCGGAGCUAACGCGUUAAACGUGCCGCCUGGGGAGUACGGUCGCAAGAUUAAAACUCAAAGAAAUUGACGGGGGCCCGCACAAGCGGUGGAGUAUGUGGCUUAAUUCGAUGCAACGCGAAGAACCUUACCUGGCCUUGACAUGCAUCUCUAAGCUGGUGAAAGCCAGUGAGUGUCGAAAGACACAAUUUGCACAG
rnacentral:rRNA from 1 species